rnacentral:misc_RNA from 1 species
AACCUUAUGGACCUGCGGGCGUAUACCUGCGGAGGGAUCAUUACCGAGUGUAACCUACCCCUUAAAAAAGGGUGGUACCUCCCGUCCUUUGUAGGCCCCUUUUUAUGGGGGGCUUUUAAGAACUUUCUGCUUCGGCGGGGUUAUUCCCGCCGGAACACCCUCAAAAAAUACUCUUUGAUCAAAAAACCGUUUAGUCCGAGAAAUUUUGAAAAAUAAAAAACUUUCAGCAAUGGAUCUCAG